rnacentral:rRNA from 1 species
CCUACGGGUGGCAGCAGUGAGGGAUAUUGGUCAAUGGGGGAAACCCUGAACCAGCAACGCCGCGUGAGGGAAGACGGUUUUCGGAUUGUAAACCUCUGUCCUCUGUGAAGAUAAUGACGGUAGCAGAGGAGGAAGCUCCGGCUAACUACGUGCCAGCAGCCGCGGUAAUACGUAGGGAGCAAGCGUUGUCCGGAUUUACUGGGUGUAACGGGUGCGUAGGCGGCUUUGCAAGUCAGAAGUGAAAUCCAUGGGCUUAACCCAUGAACUGCUUUGGAAACUGCAGCGCUUGAGUGGAGUAGAGGUAGGCGGAAUUCCCGGUGUAGCGGGGAAAUGCGUAGAGAUCGGGAGGAACACCAGUGGCGAAGGCGGCCUACUGGGCUCUAACUGACGCUGAGGCACGAAAGCGUGGGUAGCAAACAGGAUUAGAUACCCGAGUAGUC